GACCUCCAGCCCCCCAGGGCAUCCCUGACUCUGCUCUGCCGCGCCUCCGGGUUCAAUUUUGGGAGUUACGAAAUGUACUGGAUCCGCCAGAGACCCCGCAAUGCGCUGGAAUACGUUGCAGGGAUCAACACCAAUGAUGGCAGAACUGCCUACGCGUCCUCAGUCAAGGGCCGGUUCAGGAUCUCCAGGGACAACGGGCAGAGCUCGGUGACGCUGACCAUGAACAACCUCAAGGCCGAGGAUUCCGCCGUUUAUUUCUGUGCCAAAAAUGCUGGAGAUAAUGGUGAUGCUGUUAAUAUUAAUAAUGUUGAAAGUUUCGAUCCCCCCCUCCAGUCACUGUGUGUCCACCUGACCCCAAAUGUCCCCGGAUCCCUCUCCAAAACCCCAAGCCGUCGCCUCAGCAUUGAGCACUGA